rnacentral:tRNA from 1 species
GCCGAGAUAGCUCAGCCGGUAGAGCAGAGGACUGAAAAUC